rnacentral:lncRNA from 1 species
GAGACAAAUGAAGACACUCGACCAUCUCUAAAUGCUACCAAACACAUAGAGUCUACUCUGAAUGCAGAUACUGCUCUCAUAAAAAUUCUGCAAAGGAGGAAGGGGUUGGUGCAGAACUGUUCCGAUGCUGAUCAACUGAGAUGCAAAACCCAUGUUCACAUCAUGAGUGAGUCUUCUAACUCGGACAAUGCAAUCAACAAAUUCUAAGACCAAAUUCCGGUGGCACUGGCUCCAAAGGCAUCAUGCCAGCAGGGACCAGAUGUGCACCUAAUCAAGAGAUGGCAUCCAAUCAGAUGGGGGUGUGACCCUUUACUAUCGUCCUCACCACAGGACUCAUGGUCUAUCAAAGAGCAAGACCUCACCAGCUCAACACAGCCACCUCCAUACACAUCUUACUGUCACUUGUGAUCAGCACCAAAGGAAGUGUCCACCUGAAGGACUCUCCCUUGAGGACUGUCAGGAUCCACCCAAGAGGUGCUCUUUGUCCACACCACGUUCCUUUUACUGGUUCGUUAUCCCAUUUUCUGUUGAUGUUAAAUGUCACUCUGUUUGAUGUGAAAACUCUCAUCUAUAACAUUUAUAGAUUGAUUAAGUAUACUAUCAUGCAUGGUUUGCAAUGUUGACUGGCCUGUGCAGUGGCUUGAGCCUGCAUGCCACAGUGGCUCUGACUCCUGAGUGCAUGGGAGGCCUAAAGACAACUGCCUCCUCAGGAACCCCACAGAGCCCGUGGUUUUUAUUAUUGAAAUAGCAUUGGUAAAGUCUGACCCUGUGGAGAGAGACAAACGUGUGUGGAUUUGGCUAUGCCUGGCCUUGUGCUGCUCACGACAUAACUUACCCACCAUUUUCAGCACUUUCUUUGUUCUACUUUGAGUUACAAAUAGAGACACAUAAAUAAA